rnacentral:misc_RNA from 1 species
UUUCCGUAGGUGAACCUGCGGAAGGACCAUUACAGUAGUCGCCCGGGUUGCCGCAAGGCCUCCCGGGUAACCUACCACCCUUUGUUUAUUACACUUUGUUGCUUUGGCAGGCCUGCCCUCGGGCUGCUGGCUCCGGCCGGCGAGCGCUUGCCAGAGGACCUAAACUCUGUUUGUCUAUACUGUCUGAGUACUAUAUAAUAGUUAAAACUUUCAACAACGGAUCUCUUGGUUCUG